rnacentral:lncRNA from 1 species
UGCGGAGAGGAUGAGCAUUUCGUGAUUGGUUUGAAAUCUGCGAUUGGCCGCGGAUGUUUAGGGCUUCGGCCGUGCCACAGCAGGCAUGCACGGCAAGUUCUGCAUGAACCCCAAGUUCACAGAUCCAGCGCCGACGAAGCCAUCAUGGACGAUUCGAGCAACUCAUGGUGUCGAUAGAGUUUCAAUCUAGACACAAACAAACAUUGCUGUGAACUCAACUUCACAGGCGAGGAAGCAUUCAUCUCCUAUGACUGCGGCGUACCCAUACCCGUGGUUAUCUAUCGGCGGUAAUUGGCACCCCAUUAAUAACUUGGCUCUUAGUAGAAUGACAUGUUUGAUUUGAAUUCCAGUAAAUAAUUUUCUAGUUGUGUAUUAUUACUCUCAAAUUGAGUUUAGAUAAAUUUCAUCAAACAGAUUUUUAUUAUUGUACAUAGGUAGUAAGUAGAGGUUAAAGUUUUUAUGUAAAUAAUUUUUUUUUUAUAAUGUAAAGUUUACAAGUGCCAAAUUCUUCUCUUGGA